rnacentral:rRNA from 1 species
GACGAACCGUGCAAACGUUGUUCGGAAUCACUGGGCUUAAAGGGCGCGUAGGCGGGCCCGCCAGUCUGUGGUGAAAGCCCCCGGCUUAACCGGGGAAGUGCCGUGGAUACUGCGGGCCUCGAGGAGGGUAGGGGCAUCUGGAACGGUCGGUGGAGCGGUGAAAUGCGUUGAUAUCGACCGGAACUCCGGUGGCGAAGGCGAGGUGCUGGGCCCUUUCUGACGCUGAUGCGCGAAAGCCAGGGGAGCAAACGGG